UCCCCAAGUGUGUACUGUCAUUGUUGCUACAGGUGAAAUGAUUAUUGCAGUUUCGAGGGGAGAUGAUGUCACAAGAUCUCGAACCCAUAUCUCAGAACCGCCUGCCUCCUCCCACACACUCUGGCUGUCCUGACCAUCACUUCAAGCCCACCAGCCCUGCAGCAAAAAAAAUCAAACGAGUAGUUCAGAAGGCAAAGUCUGCAAGGGAAGGAAGUAUAUUGGGAGGAGUUUACCGUGAAGAAGCUGACUGCUAUGAACAGCAUGUGAAGGUGGAGGAAUUCCAGCCCAGUGAGGAGCUCCCCUGAACCAACUGGCCUCAGUGACCCUCAGAAGGAGUCAAGGUGGGUAUACGCAGCCUGGCAGCCCAUGAGGCCCAAGGGGAGGGGAGGGAGCAGCACGGAUUUAAGACCCACGUCCACUCCUGAGAAGAGAGCAGCAGGAUUUGGUGCUUCUCCUCCAAGCAGGUUUAGAAAAGCCCCUUGUGAUGGGCUCUGCCCAGUAACCAUGGGU
rnacentral:lncRNA from 1 species